UCGGCAAAGACAAUGAUGUAUCAAUCCAAGCACAUAUCUGAGAUGUAUGUGUGGAGAACACUAAACUGAGUCUUUCCCGG
ensembl:snoRNA SNORD121B small nucleolar RNA, C/D box 121B